CGUCCGGUGAUCUCUGGAGGAUGGAAUCCCAGGUGUGCGAGAGGGUGUAGGCCCCCUCGUCCCGGUUCAUGGAGCAGCUCGCCCGCUUCCUGAUCUCGAUGGCCUCCUUGAUCCAUCGUUUAAACGAUGGACAGAUUCUGACAGAUCUGUCAGACCGGUCACCUGAUAAAAAGGACACGUCAGCACACGCCGGAUGACGCUCUGAAGAAGACUGCAGUUGCAGUCGAAACAUGUCAGCUAAGGUCUGCCAGUUUGAACGCUCUUCUCAGCAACCUCUCCUCGUUCUAGCUCUACUUUCAGAGACGUGCCUGGUUGUAGACCCAAGUGCCCUCACACCUGCCUUGACACCUAUACGAGAUACUGAGGUGAAGGAUUGCUGCCUGAAAAGCAGAACCAAGGACUCAUAGGCCACCUGUGAUUACAGACUGGGAAAAUACAGGGAAGAAUGCAAGACACUCAACUGACUGAAGCAGAUCUGGCGGUUUGCUUGGCAUUUUCUGUGACAUGAUACAUGUUUUGAGGACAGGGACUGCAAAUAAAAUCAGCCUUUCCUGAAACUGUGCAAUACACAGAAAGAGAAGCUGCUCUGUUGACAAGAAUCUCAUCAGGGGCAGGUGAUAGGAUGCAGAGUAGAAUGUUCCACAGAGGUAAUCAAGUGAUGAGCAACUCUCACUGUGCUAUGAACCACUUCUGAUUGACUACUAUGUGUUUGCUCAAUGUAGGAAAUGAGGUGUCUCAUUGAUGCUCUGUAUGAACUCCCUAGAAUGGUGUUAAGAACAGUUUAAAGCCUAGCAUGAGGGUGUUUUCACAUCUAUAGUGGUAGAGUGUUUGGUUUAAUAUUUAUGACAUAUGAGGUUCAGGUGUUUUAAUUAUUAAUUACAAUUACUCCACCAAAGAACGCAGUGGAGUUAUGUGUGAUGAUGUGACGUUUAUCUGUCUGUCUCUCAUUCCAUCUGUGCGCAACAUUACUCAAGAACGGAUUAACAGAUUUGGAUGAAAUUUUCAGGGAAAGCCAAGAUAUAUUUAAGUGCUGAAAUGAAGCUUGUACUUCACAAAGGUGUUUCACCGCUCAGCCACAAGGUCUCUUCAGUUCUGACUGGUGGGGAGUCCUGAGCAUUUAAUGUGUCGUUGGGUUGCCAGCACCUUACGAGGCUAAAGCAAUUCGGCUGGCCUUCAUUUUAGCACUUAGAUUUAUCAUGGCCUGGAUGAGUGAGAAUCUUCACAGAAAGCCUAGACGUGAUGAUUAAUAACACCUGUCUUGUCUGCCGACAGUCAAGUUUGUUUUAUCUAAUCUGUAAAAUUUACAUCAGGCAGCAUCACUUUUACUAGUCCAGUUAAUGGGAUGAAUUUGCCAGUGACCAAUUGCCCCAGAAAUACUUGAUAUACAGCAUAUGACUCAGACGUGCAAUAAGUUUCUGAGAUUAUCAGUUUAUGGUGGCUUACUGAAUACAGAGUUUAGUCACAGUGACAAAUAGAAUAAUGUUAUAUUGCGUGUCUUCACAAUCACUAAAAAGAGGAUUUUUAUUCAAACUAGGUCAAAAAUAUGGAUUUUAAAGUAUAAGUGGAUGUCCUAUGAAAAAGUAAAUGUAAAAUCACCAUGAAACAAACAAAUCAACAGUCAACGGUGAAGGCUUUGUUAGUGUAAUGCUGAAACAAUGUAUAUCUUAAUUUAUUUUAUAUACUUAAAUUAAUUAAUUACUAAUAGCUAUAGUAAUGCAAAGGGUUUCUCGUAUAGAUUUUUUUAAAAAUUAUUUUUAUGUUUAAAGAGUUUUUAAAUUAACCCAUUUUGCUAAUUGGGAUUUCAGUUUCUCAAACAUAAUAGGUAUUUUGGUAUAUCAAAUAGCCAGAAAUGUCAAGGAAAAUGCAUAGACUUCUGUCAAAUAAGGUAACAGACUCAGUUUUGCCUAUUGUGGUGGAUUAAACCUGAUUAGUCAUAGUCCAUAUACCAAGAAGACAAUGACCCCAAGCAUACUUCAAAGCUGUGAGACUACUGGACCAAGAAAAAGGAAUCUGGAGCACUGGAACUGAUGAGCUGGCCAAGUCGAAGUCCAGACUUGAAUCCUAUUGAACAGAUCUGGGAUUUAUUGAAUUCAAAAUAGAUGGCACAAAAGUUUCAUCCAAAGCAAGUCUCUGGGAACAGAUAGAAACUAUUUGGAACUCAAUAACAAAAGAGACUGUCGAAAAGUCCAUAAAAACAAUGGCAGCAAGAAAGCAAGCUGGAGGUCAUAUAAAAUAUUAAGCUUUUUGGUUAAUAUAUGUGAAUAAGGACCAUUUAGUUGGCCCAGUUUGUUAUUUGCCUAAUUAAUAACGACACAUUUUUUAGUUUGAAACAAAAUUUUGACAGACUUCUAAUAUAUUUGUGUUUUCUCAUUUUUAUGACAUGCAGUUUAAUCAAUUUCUGAAGCGCUGCAUAUAUUUCAGAAAGUACUUGAUAUAUAUAUAUAUAUAUAUAUAUAUAUAUAUAUACAUUUCCAAAAAUACCAUUUUA